rnacentral:rRNA from 1 species
UAAGGAAGGUCCGGGCGUUAUCCGGAUUUAUUGGGUUUAAAGGGAGCGUAGACGGCGAUGCAAGCCAGAUGUGAAAGCCCGGGGCUCAACCCCGGGACUGCAUUUGGAACUGUGUGGCUGGAGUGUCGGAGAGGCAGGCGGAAUUCCUAGUGUAGCGGUGAAAUGCGUAGAUAUUAGGAGGAACACCAGUGGCGAGGGCGGCCUGCUGGACGAUGACUGACGUUGAGGCUCGAAAGCGUGGGGAGCAAACAGG